UACAGAGGGUGCGAGCGUUGUUCGGAAUUAUUGGGCGUAAAGGGCGCGUAGGCGGUGCGGUAAGUCACCUGUGAAAUCUCCUGGCUCAACUGGGAGCUUGCAGGCGAAACUGCCGUGCUGGAGUGUGGGAGAGGUGCGUGGAAUCCCUGGUGUAGCGGUGAAAUGCGUAGAUAUCAGGAGGAACACCUGUGGCGAAAGCGGCGCACUGGACCACAACUGACGCUGAGGCGCGAAAGCUAGGGGAGCAAACAGG
rnacentral:rRNA from 1 species